UCGAGCGGUAGGCCCUUUCGGGGGUACACGAGCGGCGAACGGGUGAGUAACACGUGGGUGACCUGCCCUCAGCUCUGGGAUAAGCCUGGGAAACUGGGUCUAAUACCGGAUAUGACCUUUCCUCGCAUGGGGUUUGGUGGAAAGUUUUUUCGGCUGGGGAUGGGCCCGCGGCCUAUCAGCUUGUUGGUGGGGUGAUGGCCUACCAAGGCGACGACGGGUAGCCGGCCUGAGAGGGCGACCGGCCACACUGGGACUGAGACACGGCCCAGACUCCUACGGGAGGCAGCAGUGGGGAAUAUUGCGCAAUGGGCGGAAGCCUGACGCAGCGACGCCGCGUGGGGGAUGACGGCCUUCGGGUUGUAAACCUCUUUCGACCUUGACGAAGCUUUCGGGUGACGGUAGGGGUAGAAGAAGCACCGGCCAACUACGUGCCAGCAGCCGCGGUAAUACGUAGGGUGCGAGCGUUGUCCGGAAUUAUUGGGCGUAAAGAGCUCGUAGGCGGUCUGUCACGUCGGUCGUGAAAACUUGGGGCUUAACCCUGAGCUUGCGGUCGAUACGGGCAUGACUUGAGUUCGGCAGGGGAGACUGGAAUUCCUGGUGUAGCGGUGAAAUGCGCAGAUAUCAGGAGGAACACCGGUGGCGAAGGCGGGUCUCUGGGCCGAUACUGACGCUG
rnacentral:rRNA from 1 species